rnacentral:lncRNA from 1 species
GCACUCUGUUUAUGGAGGUGUAUACACAGUAGGUAUGAUGCAAGCAACAGAAUAAUAUAAUAGUGGAUAAAUAAGAAAUAGUAUAUAAAUUAUAAUCAGCUACAGGAUGCAGGACAUCAAGAUAAGCAAGAAAAAAGAAUCAGCCACUAAAGAGCUAGUCAAGAUAACGAUGAACCAGCCACAGAAGGCACCAUACGAAGUCAAGGAGGGGAAAGAGGAUUGAGCUAUUACUGCCAUGGGGUUUGGAGCGGUGGAGGCGCUGUGGAGAAUAGGAUGGGGAGUGGUUGGCGUGCUGUUACUGCUAUGGGCUUGGAGAGGGUUGGAGCGGCUUUGGUGGAGACCAAGGAUGCUGGAGAGAGCGCUCCGUGCCCAAGGGCUGAGGGGCACCCGGUACCGCUUCCUCUACGGGGACCUCAAGGAGAACGCCCGGCUCAUCAA